rnacentral:lncRNA from 10 species
UGGACCACUGCAUCACAUCAGCUGUCAGUAAGGACAGUCCUCAUCUAGCCACUGAAGCAGAGUGCCCACAUCAGGAGCAGCCAGUGCUCAAGCUCCCAGAAACUGCCUAGUGACCUGCCUUCUAGACCUGCCUCCUGAGAAUGGGGCUGGCCACCUUCGAGGAGAGGGAAGUGAGCCCCUUCCUGCCUCGGGGUGGGCAGCAUCUGGAGCUGACAAUUGUAUGCAUGUUCAGGACACAGGAUACUCAACUCUUCGGGUUCAGUGUGCUGUGUGGAGGGAGAGGAAGUUGACACACGUGAACCAUAGAAUAAACAACGACCACAGAACAUCAAGGUAGAGAUGGGGCUGCUGGGUAUCAGGAAGGCUUCCAGGAAGAGGUGACAAUGAGCGGCGAUCAAGGUUUCUAGGAAGAGGUGGCCAUAAGAGGUGACUGUUCCAUGGAAACCGAGGUGCUGAUGGACAGCUCAAUUCCCCCAGCUGGAGAAAGCCCCCCUGUUGCUGCCUGAGAGAGUAAGACUCGAAGUUUUCCUUAAUCAGCCUCUUUUGGCUGUGCAGUUAGACAACUGGAGCAUUGAGGCAGGUGUGCCAAGGGCACUCUGACCACUGCCAAGGUCAAAGCCUUCUGCAGAAUGAAAACUCCGACACUUCCUUGCUGAGAAACAAACAAGAGAGAAUGGCGGGGCAUUUAAUCAUCCACAGCUGCCAAUACCUAAUCAAGAUGAAUGGCCUGGAGAGACAAGGCCAGGGAAAGCAUCCCGUGAAGCAGGAGCGCUGAGCCCAAGUCUCCUGCGAGUCAGGGGAGCCCCUCAGCCCUGGGCCACAUUGAGGCCAAGGGAAUACCAGGUGGGAGGCCCUCAGAUUCAGGGGAAGUGCUGAGGGGGUCAGAGGUCACCAUGGUCACCAAUGAGGGCCUUCCAGCUGACACUUGCCUUGGCCAAAGACCUUUACUGAGAGCCUGCUCUGUCCCAGGAGGCAAGAUAAACGAGGCACACCCCUGCCCUUUGAGGACACACAGUGAACUAAUAGCAAAAGCUACAUGCAUACAUUAUCCUGCCACCUCAAGUGUCAACAUAGACACUUGUCCCUAGAGAUCCUUAAAGCCCCUCUGAAGGACAGGCCACUCACAGCCAUGUGUGAGACAUAGAGGCAUAAAGGCUGUGGGGAAAUGAGGGCAGAAGAGAUGAACUUCUCCAUGCCCCAUUGUUCCAGACUGCGAUCAAUUCACUAUCUAUGACU